UCUUUAUGGCUGAGUAGUAUUCCAUUGUGUAUGUGUUUUGAAUACACACACACACAGAUACAUACCACAUCUUUAUCCUUUUGUCUUUUGAUGGACACCUAGGUUGUUUCCAUGUCUUGGCUAUUAUAGAUAUUGCUGCUCUGGGAGUUCCCAUUGUGGUACAGUGGUUAACAAAUCCGACUAGGAACCAUUGAGUUGCAGGGAUCGAGCCCUCAUCCUCAUGGAUACUAGUCAGGUUCUUAACCCACUGAGCCACAGCAGGAACUCCCCUAUUUCCUUUUUUAGGAAAGCAUUCUUAGAAGUAGUCUUUUCUUCCUAAUGUUAAGCCCUAACAUGUGCCAAACAUGAGACUCACUUUCAGCAAUUUUACUGUUAAACUCUAGGUUGCUUUUUGAAACAAAUCCUGAAUGUAUACAUGCAUAAAGAAACCAAAAUAUUCUGUCAUUUAAGCCACAUAGUUUGUAGUACUUUGUUAUAGUAGCCCUAGCAGACUAAUCAGAUUUAAUUUGGUAACAGAUGAUCUAAUACCCACUUAAAAACCCAUAGAAAAUUUACUUGCGAGGUCAGGUGUAGAAACUAGAUUAUUUCCUCAUGACAAUUUAUUUCCUAUAGAGGGAUUGCAGGAAGAGUCUAGACUGUCACUCACAACCUUGCUUGAAAGGUAUACAAGCAGAUCUUCAAGAUUAUCUUUAGGUCUGUUUUUCAAAUUAAGGGAGUGCUUGUUAAGUCCGAUCUAUACAGCAAUACAGAAGAUGCUUCAAAGACAGGAGUACAAAAGCAAGAUGAAUUUAGCGUAGGUCAGUAAGUGUAUAUAUUGGCCUGGAAAGAAAUAUAAGUUGGCAAAGCAGCAAGACUCUUCUUCUUUAAUGAUGUGAUGGUUUAAAAAUGCACUGACCCACUCUCAACUUACAGGGCUGGCUCCCAUCCAGACCUCCUUCUUAUAGAGGCUGCUAGGUAGUUUGCUUAGUAACAUACUUAAUGGGACUGCAGGGAAUUUGGUUUUCCAGCUAAAUGAGUUUAGAAUGCUCCAAUAAAAGCCAAAGUUGAGAUGGGAGGAAAAAAAGAAGAAAAAGAAGAAUUUAAGAAAGCCCACAAGUGAAAACCACUCGCACAUAUCAUAUGCAGAUAGUUUUUCACAAGUUUCUUUUUGUUAUUCUGUAUUCACAAAUAAUUGACACUCAGAAGUAAAUCUAUUUUUUUGCAGAAAACACAGCUGACAGAAAGUCAGGUUUUAGAGUUUGCCAUAAAGGUAUUCCUUAAAUAUAUCUACAUUAAUUUACGAAGAAGAAAACUUAAUUUUUCAGAAAGAGUUAAGUUUUUCUGGCACUGUUGAACUUUCUUCAGGCAGGCAUUUUAAGGGGGAUUGGGUCAUCUGGAGGUGUGCCAAUGAGCUAUUAGAAAUGAUGCUAAUAUUUGUUGAGAUGGUAAUGAUUUUCUCUUUUAAACCUGUUGAUAUGAAGAAUGAAUAACAUUUAUAGAUCUUUUAAAAAUAGAUCUUUCAAUGGUAAUCUUCUUAACAUUCCAAAAAGAUGAACUUAAACAGUAGAAAUGUUUUUAUGAGUCACUGGAUUUGCUUUUUAGUGUUUUGUUCACCAUACCUAUAUUAUAUAUAAGAUAGACAUAUUACUUUCUGUUCUUUUCCCAUUUCCUGGUUUUGUUGUCAAGAUUAUGUUGGUGUCAUAGAGUUGGAAAAUAAAUCACUUCACCCUUCCUCCCUCUCCUUUUUUCCUAUGUCCUGGGAAAGUACAUGAUUGAAAUUCUUUGUUUAUUCAAAGUCUGAUGAGACUUGCAUAUAAAAAUCUCUGAUUCUGUAUACUAAUUGUGGAAAGAUAUUUUUUUAAGCUAGUAAUUCCAUUUUUUUAAUGGUUGUAAAUAUAUUUGGAUUUUUAUUUUUAUUCCUUCUUGAGACUGAUUAUAUUUUGAUAUAGAUUUUUCCAUUUGAUGAAAGUUUUCAAAUUAAUGGCAUAAAACUAUUUAUGGAAUUAUUUUAAUAUCUUUUAACUCUGUUGUAUCUCUGAUUAUGUUCUCUUUUUCUUUCCUAGUAUUUAUUUAGCCUCUUUCCUAUAUCAUUUUAAUGUUUCAUACUCACUAAAAUUUUAUCUGAAUCAUUUUGUUUUUUCAAAGAAUUAACUUCAGGCUUAAUGAUUGCCUGUAAAUCUUUUUUUAUUAUUUAAUUUUUGUUCUUACCUUUAUUAUUACUUCAACUAAUUUUAUUUUUAUUUUUCAUCAUCUAACUUUCUAAAUUUAUAGUCUUUCUUCUGUCAAUAAAAACAUUGUCUUUAAACUUUUAAAAAAGUGUUCUCUUAAUAUAUGUGAUAAUGAGCCAGUUGGUUUUUAGAUUUUCAUUGGUUUACUUGGCGUAUUUAUAAGGAAAGUGACUUAUUUAUCAUAGGAGCUUUAAACUUUUAAUGAUUUAAGUUUGAGUGUUAGUAAAAUCUUCUUUUGGUAAACUCCAGCAGUAACAUGGAAAUUUCAGUGGACUACUCUGAUGUAUAUAAAUCUAAACAAAAACACUGCUCAGAGAUUUAUUAGUAGGACUUAUCAUUUUUCUUAUAUAUGACAGUUCUGUUGAACAUUUUGUUUCUUUUUUAAAUUAUUGAAUAACUUUGUACUAAUUAUAAUUAUGACAUAAUUUCAUGGCUGUAAGUAAAAAUUUCCUUUAGUUAAUUUCCCAUUUUAUUGGUUUGGUGAUAUUUAAUAAUGAUUUGUUUUGUUUAUGCAUAUAUAUUUUUACACUUUUUUGAUUUUUUAGGGCUGCAUCUGCAGCAUAUGGAGGUUCCCAGGCUAGGAGUCAAAUUGGAGCUAUAGCCGCCGGCCUAUGCCAAAGCCACAGCAUUGCCAGAUCUGAGCCAUGUCUGAAACCUACACUGCAGCUCAGAGCAACACCAGCUCCCUAACCCACUGAGUGAGGCCAGGGAUCGAACCUGCAACUUAAUGGUUCCUAGUCAGAUUCGUUUCUGCUUAGCCACAAUGGGAACUCCUGUUUAUGCAUAUUUAUAAGGAAGAACUUCACUUAUCAUCAUUGGUGAGGUUGAACCAGAAUUAAAAUUUUAAAAACUGAGGGCUAAAAUACCCUUUAUAAACCAUAUCAUUCAGUAAGUGAAGAACAAGAAGCCUAAAGCUGCAUCGUACAAUAUGUUAUUACCAACUGUGGAGCCCUUGAAAUAUAGCUAGUCCAAACUGAGAUGUGUCUUAAGUUUAAAAUACACACACAAUUGGGAUUUUUAAACUUAGUAUGAACAAAAGAAUGUAAAACAUCUCACUAAUAAAUUUUAUAUUGAUUACAUGUUAAAGUGAUAUUUUGUUUAAAUUGAAUUAAAUAAAAUAUAUUAUCAAAAUUAAAUUUUUUUUUUUUACUUCCUUAAUGUGGCUAUUAGAAAACUUAAAAUUACAUAGAUGGCUCAUCUUAAUUUCUAUUGGUCAGUGUUGGUUUAAGAGUUAACCUCUUCAUGUAAACUUUCAAGGCAAAUUAGGGAGGAAUUGAGAAACAAAACUACUGACUCCCUUAGGCACUCUGACAAUUUCAAAAAGUAAUUUAUCCUUUUCCCUUUUGUUUAGUGAAGCUUUUUUUCUGGCUAAGUGUUUACUUAAUUUGGAGAAGUUAUUAAACAUCACAGGAAACGCUAUUGUUUCCUCAAAUAAACCACAUGAACCAGAUAAAUGUUUUAAAUUAUAAACAUUGUGAGCAAAAAGGCUCUUUCUUAGUGGAAUACUUCCACAAAUAUUUUAAAUUUCCAAAUGUUAUACUAUUAAGUAACCAAGUUUAGAAUUUCUAAAAUUAUGACACUGAGUGGAUUAAGUAUCUAGAGAUUAAGCAUAUACUUAGAAAAGAGUCUUAACUGAAUUUUGGUCGUGCUUAUUUCAUGGAUAGUAAUGCAUUUGGGUGGAUCCACAAAGUGGCUGUUGGCGAAAGGUUAAACUAGCUUCUCAGUUCAAAUUAGAUUGUGAGUUAUCCACGGACCGAAUAGUUUAAAAUGGAGGCUCAGAUUCUACUCUACAGAACAGUUUCAUUGUUCUCCAGUUUGACAGCUCAAGAAAUCUGGUAUAAACAAUCCUUUUUCUACCUUAUCCAGGAGAAACAUACAUAUGCGUAGAUCUUUGAGAAAAAAUGUACAUUAUCACGUUAUCAAACAAUAUCAAGUGUUGUAUAGCAUCUGUGAAUAUGGCAACCCUGAGAGAACUGAAUGCAGUGUGAUUUAAAAAAAUCAGUGUUUUGGAUAGACGUUGUAUUUGCACUUUGUAACAGUUUUUCAUUCUAAAAUUACACUUAGCAAUUGUAAAAACACAAAAUUACUUCCAAGCAUAAUUGCCACUACUUUCUAUAUGAAGUGAACAGUGUUUAGUCAUAAAUUUUAUAAUGAAUUAUAUUAUACAAUUAAAAAAUCUCAUCUUUAUGAAUUGUGUGAUGACAGCCUGUCUUUGAUUGUGGCUUUCUUUUGAAUGCAACACUGUUUAGAGAUCGUGUAUGUGUGUGUGUGUGUGUGUGUGUGUGUGUGUGUGUGUGUGUAUCUGUAUCUAUCCAUCAAUUAUCAGAAUGCUUGGAAGAGCUGGAAAAACUGGAAUGUGUUUUCUUUGACAUAAAAAAUGCAGGAAUCUUAUUUUAUAAUUGUCUGAUUCUGUGCCACAGUGCAUGUUUGCUUCUUGAAUAGUAAAAAGCUAAAAUAAGAUGUUCAUCUUGUAAAUAGAUUAGGGAACUAGAGAGCAGUCACAUGAUAGAAAAUUGUAAUAAAAAUUUUGACAAGCAGUACUGACAGUAAUGCCUUUUAACGCUGUCAUCAUUGAGGCUAGGUUUUUCCCCUGCUUUCCCUACUGUGUAGCAGAAUGAGUUAAUGUAAGUGUUUAAUAACCGAUAGUCUCUAGAAGAUGUGCCUACUAUUGAAUUAUGUUUUUCUUCUCCUAUUGGAACUUACAAUUCUCUGACUGAGUGCUGUUCCCAAAAUGGAGAUAGAGUUCUGUCACUUUAUAGACUUUUGCCUUUUCCCCUCUUUAUGAAGCGUGUUCUGCCAUGAGGGAAAAAUCAACUCUCGUUCAUAGUUGCUUAAGAUUAUUCAUAAUAGAGAGAAAUUUGCAAUAGUUUUUUCCCAGAGAUACUGAUUCAUAGGGAGGAAGUCAGGAACACAGAUGUUCCUGAGUCAUUGUUCAGAAGCACAACAUUCUGCCCAAGCCCAUUCCUCCAGCCACAGCAGAGCAUUCACUUUUAUAAGACUGAGUUUUGGCCAUUCCUAAUGAUUUCUAAGGAUAGCAGUUUCACAGUUCUUAUCAAUACGAUGUUUUGGCAUGCAAAAUUCUAUGGACAUUAUAAUAUACUGCAGGAUUAUUUUGAGUAUAGAAGGGCAAAUCUGUCAAAAGACAAAUGUCUUACAUGCUUGCUAUUUAGUGAUGCAUGAAAGGCAGAAAAUGACCUGUUUCAUUAUUUAUAAUGAAAAAUAAGUGGUUUACAUGCUUCUGUGAUCUGUUGUAUAAAUAAUUAUAAAAUAUUAAACUGUUGUACAUGUGGGUCUUUUUGUAUCUUUAGUGCUCUGGGGCUGAAUUAGUAUAAGGCAAUAAUUUGACAUUUUGUUCCAUAGUAUACCUGGGACUCAUGAGAUCAAACUCUUUCAUGGACAAGAAAACAUUUUUGUGAUUAGAAUAUACUGUAUGUGCAAAAUAUUUGUCAUAAUUUUGUCUUUUAUACUUUUAAACCAUAGCGUUUCAUUGCAUAUCUGUUUCUCCUUUUAAUCUGAAAUAUUCUCCAGACUAAACUGUGUAAUUUUUCUAGAUAGGAGUUUAGCAGCGUCAUUAAGAUUAAUAUUAACAUCUACAAAUUUAUUUUAUGAGCUUAGUCAAAGAUGUAUACAGAGAUUAGCAUACAAUAAUGUUUAUAUGCCAUUUAUUUCUGAAUGAUAAAGAGUUGGGAAUAACAUAACUUCCAGAAACAAACUGUUGAUUAAUCAAAAAUAUAUAUAGGACUUCUAAUGUAAUGGACUGUUGUGUGACUAUUUAAUGUCGUCCUUUUAAAGAUUGUCUGAUAUUGGAGUUCCCUUCAUGGCUCAGCAGAAAUGAAUCUGACUAGUAGCCAUGAGAAUGCAGGUUUGAUCCCUGGCCUCACUCAGUGGGUUAAGGAUCCAGCGUUGCUGAGAGCUGUGGUGUAGGUCGCAGAUGUGGCUUGUGUCUCGUAUUGCUGCGGCUGUGGCAUAGGCCAGCAGCUAGAGCUCCGAUUUGACCCCUACUCUGGGAAACUCCAUAUGCCUCAAAUACAAGCCAUAAAAAGACAAAAAAAAAAAAGGAAAGAAAAUUAAAGAUUGUCUGAUAUUUUAUGGCAUUCUUGUUGUGGCUUAACACAUUAAGGAUCCAAUCUAGUGUCCAUGAUGAUGCAGGUUCAAUCCCUGGCUUCGCUCAGUGGGUUAAGGAUCGGGUGUUGUCACAAGCUGUGGUCUUCGUUCACAGAUGUGGCUUGGAUCUUGCGUUGCUGUGGCUGUGGCGUAGGUUGGCAGCGGCACCUCUGAUUUGAUCCCUAGCCUGGGAACAUCCAUAUGCCGCAGGUGAACCCUAAAAAGAAAAAAAAAAAA
ensembl:lncRNA